CACGUAGGCGGCCUAGUAAGUUGGAUGUGAAAGCCCUGGGCUCAACCCAGGAAGUGCAUCCAAAACUGCAUGGCUUGAGUGCCGGAGGGGUUCAGAGAAUUCCCGGUGUAGAGGUGAAAUUCGUAGAUAUCGGGAGGAAUACCAGUGGCGAAGGCGCUGAACUGGACGGUAACUGACGCUGAGGUGCGAAAGCGUGGGUAGCAAACA
rnacentral:rRNA from 1 species